rnacentral:lncRNA from 1 species
UAAAAUCACAUGACCGUGUGGUCAUUUGCCAAAAAAUUGGCGAUACUUCUGUGAUCAAGAUCAUGGAGCUUGAAGAUUGAUAUAAAAAUUGCAACUUCUUUUGCGUAUAUGUUUACGAGUUUUACUGGUAAGUUCUCCAUGUCCUGUACCUUGCCCUCUUUCCCGAAAAUAAGCAAAUGUGCGUGUUAGUUGUAAGAAACCCUGGAUUGAAUUUCUGAGUUUUUGUAGUUGAAGUACCUCAAAACUUUUUAAGGGAAAUUACUGUAAAUUGUUGCUCCUCCAUCUUUCCUACCCAAACAGAGAACUAUCUCGUUGUAUUUUCUUAUAAAGAUUUUUAUUUUUAUUUUAUUUUGAAUAAACGAUGCUAUCUACGGGGGUGAGGGAGUGAGUUAAGCUUCAUAAUCGGCUAACAAUAAUGUGGUUCAAAUUCGUCUUUGGUUAGAAUCAAAUCUAAGACCUCUCACUUACAAAUGAAAAUAAAUACCACUAGAUCGUAGUACUAAAUAGUUCUUAUAAAAAUAAAAAAAAUAUUUGAAAUAACAUUUCAAUGUCAUUUCCAUUUCCUUCAUUAUGCACACCCACGGUUUAUUUUUUGUCACGCUUAAAAACUGGUUAUUACACUCGCAUCAGUUUUAAUAGUUUAUCAAGCACCAAAUUGCUUUAUUUCAUAGAUGAUUGGCAGUUUUUUUCAAAGUGAUUAUUUUUACAUUACAGAAAAAGUUCUCGAGAUCAUUUGGUGACUAAAGAAUAUAUGCUCAUUUACCUUUGGAUUUGAUAUGGUUGAUGCACAAAAUUAAAUUAAUCUUGGACCAACUUAAUUUCAACCACAAAUCACACAGGCGCAAAAAACACAAUAACAUAUCGUGGUUCACCUUGAGAUGGGAUUAUGUCCAUAGUUUCCGUUUCCACUAUGUAAGUGUAGGUUGCAUUGUAAAAGACAAGAGGUUUGUUGCCUUUGAAAGGGUAAAGUGGCUAGGGUUUGGAAGGAGAGGUUCUCUUUGAAGUGAGGGUUAGAAUUCUUUUUAUAGGAUAUGUAAGGGUAUGAUUGAUGAUUUAACAGCAAAAGCAAUAAAAAAUCCAAGGCCACCCAUCAAGAAGGGCCUCCCAUUUUAUAUUAAUUGUAUGUGUGACAUCCCACGGGAGUGGAUCAUGUAAGUCUUAUAUGUAUAUUCUCAUAUCUUCUUAGCAUGAGGCAUUUUGGGAACUUACUGGCUUCGGGUUCCAUUGAAACUCCGAAAUUAAGCGAGUUCACGAGAGAGCAAUCCCAUGAUGGGUGACUCACUAUGAAGUUCUCGUGUGAGCUCCCAGAAACAAAACCGUGAGGGUGUGGCCGGGGCCAAAGCGGAUAAUAUCGUGCUACGACGGAGUCGAGCUCGAGAUGUGAUGGGGUCCGGGCCCGGAUGUGAGCAGUAUGUAUAUAUCUAUUCGAAUUUGCAAUGAUAUGCCAAAUUCUACACAUGGCUCAAUUGUCCUCCACAUCUUAUUCAUAGUCCAUGUACCAUGAAAUUGGGUUCGACUCUACCGAGUGUCUUUUCUUUUUUGUUUUAUUUUAAUUUUUUGGGUAUUUAAAAGCAUGAGUUGUGUUUUAUUGUGUUAUUUAAAGCAUGUCGUUUAUUUUAAUUUCUUAUGUGUUUUAUUUUAAUUUUUUUGAUAUUUAAUAGAAUGGGUUGUAUUUUAUAUUUAUUUAUUUAUUGUUAUUUAAAGCAUGGUUUUUCUUGAUACAACAAUGAAAUAUGCAUCUUAACCAUCGGUGCAAAAUUUGAAAAUCAUUACAACUAGUGGAAGCUUUUAGAUGCAAAGAUUCAGCAAUGCUCACAAUUAUCAAAUCCCUACCAAACUCAUGUUCCAAGUCUUACUGCCUUAUAAGCAAAAUAGUCGACCAUGACUUAUUUAACUGCGUUUGAUACGACACUGAAAUGCCAGUUCAACAAUCAACACAACUCAAUCAUUCAAGAUCUUGGUAAAAUAUCUCAAUCCACCACUACUAUAGAGUUUAUGACUGAUAUUGUUAUCUCACCUAUUAGCCAUCACGUAGAUUUAGUCAACUUAUAUCUGUGCCAGAUUAAACUGCCCACCUAAAUCUCCAUGACAACUUUCCCUACUCAUAUUUUCCAACUAUACCAAGGGAAUCAAGACCCUGCGUAAAGCGAGAGCCUUGUGCACUGGGUAUGACCAAGGGAAUCAAGACACUUUGAGCACUGUCACGCCGAAGUGUUGCACGAUAAGCACCUUGAAAUCCCGCUUGCCGAGUCCAGCUGCAAGACUGCUUACAAGCAGCUCAUUCAUUUCCUAAUUAUCACUAUAUAUGGACAUAAAACUACCUCAAGCCACGUCUAAGCUAUAGCUUCCAAUGGUAAGCACUAGAGUAAACUAAAAAAAACACGGGGUCUCAGAACCACUGAGCUAAAAUGAUCAUUAUUCAAGUGGAGAUGACUGUGUCGUCACCAAUCUUCAAAAGAAAAUCCACGUUAAUCUUUUGAAAUCCUUUUCGGAGUCCCUCAAGAUGAAGAACACAAGCUCGAAUCAAUCCACUGCUAUGUAAAAUGAUCUCUUCACCUUGCAAUAGUAGCCCUCCUUCAAAAUGCCAUACCCAUUCACUAAGCUACAUCUGCUUAACCAGUUAAACACAUAUAAAGGCCUCUCUCUCACAAGCAGCUAGUUGUAAUCUCUAGGCCUCACCAGACCAUCGUGUCAGUAAUUACUACAAAUUUGUGUUUCGAGAAAAAACCGUGUGGACAAACAAACAACAGGAUGAUUGUAGGCAGUGUACAAACAAAACUAAAAACCCUUCAUCGGACUUCCCUUGCCCUUUCUUGGUGCAGCAAUGGAAACUUGAUAAAGGGUUGUGAAUAGAUCUGUAAACGGGUCGGGUUUAUUGGGUUUGGGUCGGGUUGAAUCCGAUCCGUUAAGUUAACGGAUCAUCCGAACUCAACCCGUUAAACUAACGGGUCACCCGUUUCAUCCGUUAUCACCUGUUAACAAUUAUUAUUAUUUUUUUUGCAUAAAGUUUAUUUUUUGUUAUCAAGACUUUACUAAAAUUACUAAAAUAUCCUCAACUAACGGGUGCUAACGGGUGUUAACGGGUCUAACAGGUUGACCCAAAGUGACCCGUUAUUUAACGGGUUGUUAACAGGUUCACCCGUUAACGACCCGACCCGUUAAGCAUCCAUCCAAAUACAAAUAUUAACAGAUUGGGUCGGAUCGGGUUAACGGGUUGGGUCCAAAAUGCCAGGCCUAGUUGUGAAUCGAUACACCCGAAAAACCCUUUUAUGAAGCUAAACUCCUACACUCAGUCCCGUUCCUAUCCAAUUUAUGUUUCUGGUAAUCAAAAAUUCAAACGACCAGCAUAAAUCAAGACGUAUCCAUUUUUUUUCUUCAUAUUAAAUUCAAGUUUCAUCACGAAAAAUUCCAAGUUCAAAUACGAGGAUGCAAGCAACCAACUCACAUGCAAUCAUGAAUGAAAACCCAGAUUUCAUAUACAACAAAUUAGUAAAAUUUCAUGUAAAAAAAUCAACAAAAUAAAAUAAACCAGGGUAAAAAAGCCAUGCCUGCCAGAGUAUAAUAGGAUUGGAAGUCUUCGUUAUGGGCUCUUCGCACUCAACCGCCACAGGCGGAGGAGCCACCACUUGCGCUUUCGGGAAGCUCAAAGACCGGCUUCGGCGUCUUACUUUCAGUUCCUUCUUCUGGUUUCCUUGGCUCCUCUGCAACAACGACGCUUGCCGCUUCUGGUUCUUGCUUCAGGAAGGGGAGUUGAAGCUUGAACUUGGGGAAGAGUGAGAACAAGUUUUUGGGUCCUUUUGGGUCGUCUUCUUUGAUUACAAUCUCUGUGUUUUCUGCCAUUUUUUGGGAGAGAAAGGGCGAUUCUGAAUGUGGGUUUGGAGUGUAAACGGCGGAGAAAACGAGCAGAGUGGCGAUGUUCAUGAGAUGUUGUAAACGCAGCUUUUAUUAUAUUUUCUCUCUUUUUCUUACUCCAGAACGUCCUCCAUCCUCGUUUAAAUUUAAAAAUUAAAAAUUAAAAGGCUAAAUUUUUUUCUUCAUCAUGCGGUGAGGCACCACUUUUAAAUCGAUUAUUGUGGAGAAAAAAGCGUUAAUCUUAACCCUGUGGUGUAAUUCGUUAUCAAUCGUAGUCCAAAUAGAAAUUUCUAUCAAAAUCUAAUCCUCGUGCAGGGGUAAAAAGGUCAUUUCAUUUUGAUAAUUCCACUUUUUUAUAAUCAACAAAAAAAUUAGAAGGGAAAAAAAAAAAAAAAAACCCUCCCCAAUCCCUACCUUUGUAAGCCACAACCACAGCGACCACCCACCACCUUCCCUCCUCUCUCUCGCAUAACCUUAUCCAUCCUGUCCACCACUGUUAUUCUUAAGAUGAAACUAAAUUCAAUGUUUGCAUAAUAACUUAUAUUCUAACCUAAACACAGUGAGGUACUUUGUGAUUUUUUAAAUCUUGAAUUUGGACACUUGGAUCACUUGAAAUGAGAAAGUCUGAUAAUAUGAACCUUGUAAUUUUAUUGUUUAUUUAUUCUUUUAUUGUCCAUAUGACAUUUUAUGAUUGGUUGAUAGAAUUAAUAAAAACGAAAAUAACAAUUUUGGCCCUACAAAUGUUAGAAGAAUAAGGAAAAAUCCAAUUUGGACUAUGAUUGAUAACGAAUUUCAUCACAUGAUUACAAUUAAUAGCUGUUUCACCACAAAUGUCUGAGGUCUAUUUAAAAGUAAGGUAUCACCACAAGGAUCACGAAAAAAAUUUGGCCAAAUUAAAAAUAUUCAUGUGGUGUUUUGAGGAAAAAAAAAAGCAACACUAUUUAUAAUAAUAAUAAUAAUAUUUUUCUUAAAUAAAUAAAAGUUUAAAACGUAUGAUUUUGAUAUUCGUCUAUGCAUCCAUUAUCUGGAUAAUCAAAUAUAGCAAUGUUAAUCCAAUUGCGUUUAUUAGUUCUUGUCUAUUACGUCCCGAAUCUAGGAUGGGUGAAAAAUCCGAAUUUGAAAGGCAAAUUAAAUUAAUAAAGAAAUUUUAUAUUUAAAACUUGCAUUCUAUACAAGGCUACAAAGAAAAUAAAAUAAAUUUGUUCACAAAAAGAAAAAAAAAAAAUAAAAUAAAAUUCUAAUAUCACAUUUAAUUUGAUUUCAAUAGAAAGCAUGUAGUUCAUAAUCACCUUCAUAGACCUCAUGACAACUCAAUAAACACCGUGAUACAACCACCACGGAGCCUAAUAGAUGUGGAACGAAAAUCACCAAAAAUUCGUCUCAUGGAAUAGCACGUUCCACCCGUUUUAGGCGCAACGACAACCUUAUUUCAUUUUUCAGUAAUUGACGCCGUAAUUAACUAAUUACUGCUCAUAAACAGGUAAGUACAGUACAGUAAGAAGCUCCGCACAUAAGAAGCUAAUGAAAAUUUCUCGCACUUUCUCAACAGAACAUUUUCCACAAGCAGUUGCAGUUGCUGUUGCUCGUCUUCUUCUUCUUCGUCGGCGGCAAAAAUGCAUUCGACUCACUUGUUUCUGGAAGAGCCGAUCAGGAUGGCUUCGAUUCUCGAGCCUUCCAAGCCUGUGAGUAAUUCCGGUCACUCUAACUCUUCCGUUUCUUUGAACUAGUAGUUAGUUAGUUAGUUAGUUAAUUUUGAUUGAGAAGAGAGAGAGCCAAUUAUUUGCUUUUGUUUCUUCAGCAAGUAACCAAGUUGUAGUGUGUUUGUUUCCCGAGAAAGUGAAGGAUUGGAUGGAAAACAAACAAGGCCUGGAUUUCCUCUUUGUACUACCUGUUUGGCUGUUUCUUAAAAUUAAUUUGUAGCAAGUAUAAAUCAGCUCUCAGUGUUUGUGGGUUUGGAUGGAAUCUGUAUUUCCUUCUUGCAUCUUAAUUCUUAUCAUGUGUUUGGUUUCUGAGAAAUUGUGAUAAUCAGGAGGGUGUCAUAUUUCUUAUCAGAGAAAUCUUUACUUAGCAAUCAAACAGGAUAUUAUUGUUUCCCAAAUAUUCUCUGAAUUUCCGUGGGUUAUUAGAUGAAUAUGUGGCCGUAGGGAUUUGACAGAACUUGAAUGCGUGACAAACUUUGAUGGAUCUAAACUUGCAGACAUUCUUUCCAGCAAUGACAAGGAUCGUGGGAACGCUUGGUCCAAAAUCACGAUCGGUUGAGACAAUCUCCGGUUGCUUGAAGGCAGGAAUGUCUGGUAUUACUCACCUGCUAUGCUUAAUUUUCAUUAUUCAUCUGUCUGAUUAUGAGUUGCCAGCUUCUUAUUUUUGCUAUCUCCCUUCAUCUAUAAUACUUUAGUAAAAGGAUAAGAAACACUGUCUGAGACUUGUGUACCUCCGUUUUGGCGGUACAAUUUCUUCACUGUGAAGAUAGUACUGUGUGAUUGUUUUGCUUCUGGUAAAUCCUUUAUCUAUUUUCCGUCUGUUCAAUUUGAAUUCCCUUUUUGAAUUUUAUAUGACGUUGAUUUAGCUAAUUGAAGUAUAUAAUUCCUUUCACACCCUCCAUGUAUAUAUAGUGGCACGGUUUGAUUUUUCAUGGGGCGAUGCUCAGUUUCACCAAGAGACAUUGGGAAACCUGAAGGUUGCAAUGAAGAGUACCAAUAAACUGUGUGCAGUAAGCUUGCUUUUCUUACGAUCUCUGCAUUUUGUCUCUAAAUUAUUUAAUCGUAUAUAAUGAUCCUAAAAUUCAACUUUUAACUAACUGUGCUUUUGUGUCUGCAUUAUUUAAUUUGUUAUGUUCCUUUCACUAAAUCACCUUAACUUGCAAGGGCUUGAUAUAGGUUUAGGAGCGUCAGAGGUCUCCCUCUAGCCCUAUAGCCCUCCAAGAAAUUAAUAUUUUAAUGAACAAUGUCAUGCCAUAUUUCUUACCAUUUCCAACUGAGGGGUCAAAGGGUCAUAGGCCAAAUAUAGCCAUGUGACAAAAAACCAUCUCCAACCGAGGAGGCCAAAGGGCCAUAGGCCAAACAUAAUUUAUUAUUUCAAUUUAAAGACUACAACAACUUAAAUUUAAAAAUUACAACUUAAAUUUAAAAACUACUACAACUUAAAUUUAAAAACUACUACUAUACUUAAAUUUAAAAACUACAACAACUUAAAUUUAAAGUCUAUAAUCAUCAUCAUCUUCAUCUGCCAUUGUAGGAUUUUAGUCGGAUGUAAACAACUCCCGUUGGGCCAUAAUUUCUCUCUUUUUCCUAUCAAAAUAUGUCUUGCUUGGAAUGUAAUCCAAAGUGUUCCUUCAUCCAUCUCUUCUUGAAUUUGUUUUGCCUGUUCUUCGUGUCUUCGCUUCCUUUCUUCCGCGGCAAAGGCAUUUUGCUCCGCCAUUAAUCGCAAUGCGGACGCCAUUUCCUGUUGAAAGGCGUAAUCAUCCUUUGACUUGCCUUUUUCGUUCAAUUUUAGGGCCUUGUUUCAUCCCAUAGCCCUAGGUAUGGAACCUUUAGCCAAAGACGGAUUUUCUACCAUUUUUUCUUGAAUGGUAGGAGAUCCAUGUUCAUCCCCAACUACAUUUAAGGAUGCAUUUCCGAACACCAGUGUAGUACCAGCUCUUUCUUGGGGUGGAUCUUCAAAUAACACCCACCCUUUACAAAUUUUCCAACAACCAUGAUGAUUAAAGGGUUUCGAGUUGUCCUCCAUAUACAAUUCCUCCGCUUGAUGUACCUAGAAAAUAUUACAAAAACUAAAGGAAAUUAAUUUAUGAAAUUAAAUGUAAUGUAAUUAAAUAUUUAAAAUAACUUGUGAAAACACUUACUUUGUUGUAGUAAUUGGCUCCGCUUUCAUGUUUGCUUUCGGCCUUUAACACUGCUUGAUGCCAUUUAUUCAAACUUGGAUGAAGAUGUUUUUUCCAUCUUGAAGAACAACUCUCGUGGUUUCGGGAAUUCGGUGGAGUGGUGCCUUCGUAGAACUCAUAGUACUUUUUAGACGUACGAGUCCAAACACCUUCACUUGUUUGAGAACUCUCCCUCACACUAUCUUCCGAGACCCAUCUAUAAGCCCUGCAAAGAGCUUCAUCUUCUUUUCGGGUCCAAGCCUUGCCUUUCAUUGCAGAUACGGCCAUUUGAAAAUUAUUGAAAAAAUUGAAGGAAAGAUUAUUGGAAGAGGUAAGAGAAUAGAAUGUGAAGAAUUGAAAUAAAAUGAAGUAAGAUAGUAUGGAAUGGUGAAAAUUAUGUGAGAAAUGUGUAGGAAUGGCUUAGGUAUUUAUAGGAUAAAAAUGGGAAUUUUUUAUUUUUUAUUUUUAAUUUUGUCCUGAAAAAAAAAAAGUUCAUAUCCAACGGUCACCUGGCGUCAAUGUUUUAAAAGGCUCGCCUCAGGGCGCGCCUAGGCACCCUGUGAGGCUGGGCUUGAGGGUUGCCGCCUCUGUUUUGAGGAAGUGGGUGGAAGGCGGCAGAAGGCGUCGCUGGAGCCGCCUAGGUGUGCCUCAGGGGAUUUUUUUUUUUUUUAACUCCCAAACCCAUAUUUUGGGUAGGGUUUUAACUGCCUCAUACCUCUUCCUUGCACUAUCAUCUCUCUGCCUUUUUUUUUCUGAUUUUUAUUUUUUUAUAUAAUGGAUGUGUGUGCUGUCUGUGUGCAUUGUUAUUUGUGUGCUCAUUGUGCUUUUCAUCCUCUAUUAUAUAUAUAUAUAUAUAUAUAUAUAAUAUAUGUAUGUAUAUAUAUGUGUGUAUAUGUAUUUAUAAUAUGUGUGUGCUCAGGGUGAUUAUUGAUUAAUAAUCUUUUUUUUUAAUAUAAUAUGUGUAUAUAUUAAAAAAUUUAGGUCCCACGAGGCUUCGCCUUACGUCUAGGCUGGGCUAUCCCUCGGACAUCUCGCCCACGCCUCACGCUUUUAAUACAUUGCCUGGCAUCAGCAUGACGUUAGUUAGCCGUUGCUAGCUGACGUCAUGCUGACACCAGGUAGCCGUUGGGGUUCAAAAAAUGGGCCGGCCCGGGGCUACAUGGCUGGCUCGUUUGGGCCAUCCGGUUGGCUUGAUUUGGUGUUUUUGGCCCGGUGGGGCCCAUGAGCCCUUUGGCCUAGCCCUUGGUUGGAAAUAGUUUUCGUGUCAUUUAGGGCUAUUUUUAGCCCGAUGGCCCUCUCGCCGGAUCGGUUGGAGAUGGCCUUAGCUCCUUUUGGAUAUGUACGCUUACAAGUUGGUUUAUUAAUCUUUUUUUUUUUUUUUUUUUUUUUUUUUUUUUUUUUUGCUUCAGGUAAUGCUUGACACAGUGGGUCCAGAGUUGCAGGUAGUGAAUAGAAGUGAGCAUCCCAUAUCUCUUCAGGAAGAUACCCUGGUUGUCCUAACACCUGAUCAAGACAAAGAGGCCACCUCAAAUCUACUACCCAUAAAUUUUAGUGGCCUGGCAAAGGUAUGUAUUAAUGAAAGAUGUCAUUCUGAAUAUUUUCUGGCUUAUCUCUAUGAAAGACAUAUAUCUUGCUAUAUUAGAAUCCUUGGUUCUAUUGGAUCUACAGCGAUGAACUUUGCCGUGCCAAUGUAUUUCUCUGAGUGAAGACGAACUAUGAAGUAACUGUUUUUGCACUUACCAAACUCAGCUAACCUGGAAAGAGACUGACUUAUUCUGACAUCAAUGAGGGACGGGGCUUUUGACGCAUUGUUUGUUUUUCCAAUGAGCAGUCGUGUUUUUCAGUCUAACCAACCCCCAAUCCCACCCACACACAUGCAUCGCAUUCGAGGGUAAUUAUUGGACAAAAUAAUCAAUUGGGGAAUAACUUAGCCAUUUGAUGAUUAUAACGAUGAUUUUCUAUAUCAAAACACUGUGUGCGUCUACUUAUUUGACAAAAAUGAAAUGACUAAACCAUUUCAAACUUAUGUGAUUUUGUGCUGUUUCUUCUAUUUCUUUCAGUUCUUGAACUUUUGCUGUAUUUUAGAUGCUUUACUUCUGGUGUAGAAUUCUUGUACAUAUAGACAAAGAAGUUCAAGUCAUCCAUAUCAUAUCAUGUCACGAGAUUUUGGAGGAACCAAUUUAUCUCUUAUAGGUUCAGGAAUGGUGUCUUAGAGAAACCAGUUCAUAUAGUUUGAUAUUGACUUCCUUCUCUUGUUUUUUGGAAGCAUGUAAGAACUAUAUUUAGUUCUGUAUAUUUAUCUUACAACAUGUCUCACAUUAUGUUGGCAUUGCUGCAAUGAGUUAAAUUAAAUUUGGUCUUUGCAGGCAGUGAAGAAGGGAGAUACAAUUUUUAUUGGUCAAUACCUCUUUACGGGAAGUGAAACUACUUCUGUGUGGCUGGAGGUAAGGAAAUAUAAGAGAUAUGAGUUCCAUAUGAAGUUGGUAGUAGUAUAGUUGGUUUCAGAAUCAAAAUUAGGCAUGUUAAUUUCAAAUCCUUGCCUAGUCAGAUAUGUAUUCCUUGUCACACAGUUAGAAGUGCAAACAAGGUAAUAGCCACUUUAUUCGUUACUCUUCUAACUGUUCCAAAGAAAUCUUGUAAAAAAAGCAAGAGUGGGACCAGAUUCUGAGAGAUAAAGAAUGCUGACAUUCAACUUUAAAAUUUUAAAUUAAUAGAACAAUUUAAACAUACAUUGGGAACUAGGUGAAGCUCUGUAGCAGACUAAAGCUAAAACUGAAUGCUAUAAAUUUGAUACAACCUUUGGCAGUGGAACCUGUAGUCUCUCAAGGUCCACUAUUGUUUGCAUACAUGAUAUUUAUAGGGGAUCAUCAGAAGUUAUCUAUUUGAUGAGUGACCUGGGUCCUGAAAACUUUAAUGUAAAUAAAACCUCCAGGAACUCUGAAUUUGCUACCUGCAAUAUGGUCCCAUGGGCCUUAUUGUAUGUCGAUUGCUUACAAUAGAUUUAUUAUGAGCCUCCAUCCGUUCGGUUGGCAGAUGUCUCUUGAAAAGUACCCUCUGCAUUCUUUUUAUAUAAUAUUCUCAGGAAAAAGAAUGAUUCACAUGUUGUUGUAACGUUUUCUUUUACGAUGCAGGUCACUGAGGUAAAUGGUGAAGACGUGGUUUGUCUCAUAAAGAAUUCUGCUACCUUGUCAGGGUCAUUGUAUACUUUGCAUGUCUCUCAGAUUCGUAUUGAUCUGCCUACACUUAACGAUAAAGAUAAGGAGGUUAGUUUCUUUUGAAGUCACAGUACUGGAUACUAACAUAAUUAGAGCCACCAACCCCCCUGAAAAUUGAAUUGUCUGCUUCUGCGUGGAUUCAUUAACUUGUGGAUUACAAUUUGUCCUUCUAUCAUUAAGUUUAGCGUUGCAAUUCAGAGGGAAAUUCUGAAAGCGGUUAUCAGAUGUGUUUAGAGUGGUGUGGGUUUGUGGAUUGUUUGGUUGGUAAGAAACACUUGGUUUUCUUCUUCUUCUUUGGGGUAGGAUUAGUUUUUAACUCUUUUUGGACAUUUUUGUCAAAGUAUUCUAGAGAGGUAAUAGUCAGUAUAUUUAAUCUUGACUGAGGUUUGUGUUUCGUUUUGAGGCUGUACCUUGGAGGAGAUGGACUUUGUCAAUUUUGUUUGUCUUUCUUCAUUUUCUGGAUUCAUUCCUUGAGUGUCUUCACUCAUCGUUGCUGAAUGAUGGCUUGUGUACCUUCUAAUUUUAUUGAUAGUGAAUUAGAAGGUACAUGAGGUAAUCCGUAAUGUUGAAUUCAUUAAAAUGAAUUUGGAGGAAACUGUAUAAAAAAAUCACUUUUUAUAAAAGGAGAUCUUAUUCUUACUUGAAUUGCUUAUUUAAUGUGUUUUAAUAUUUUAAUAAUUUUUCAGGUCAUAAGCACUUGGGGUGUUCGUAACACCAUCGACUUCCUCUCAUUAUCAUAUACGCGUCAUGCUGAAGAUAUUCGCCACGUAAGGACUGUUCAUGACAGGAUUUCCUGUCUGUUCUGGUGUUAUGUGAAUUAUAAUUUUUCUCCCUGUUCUUUAUGAUGUGGUUCACUCGUAUUUAGGGCUUAAUUCUCUGGGUAAUAUUAUUAUGUUUCCUUCUUCUUUUGAUAAUAUAAGGAGAAACUAAGUACCCUUUCCUUAUUAUUCUUUUCUUUUAGAGGAAGUAUUAUUAUUCUAUUUUAAUAGGCCGUUCUUGUUAUGCAGGCCCGUGAGUUUCUUUCAAAGUUAGGCGACCUCAACCAAACUCAGAUUUUUGCAAAAAUUGAAAAUGUAGAGGUGAGUUUCUUUGAAAAGAAUAAAAAACAAAAUUUACUAAUAUUGUCACCAUCAGCUUGGAUUAUGGAUAUGGUUACCACCUUGACAUGUGGGUUCCACAUUUGUGGAGAGCCCUCAGUAGUCAGUAUUUAGGCAGUAAUGGUGGUAAGGAAUAUUCUUGGCAGAAAGGAUCAUGUGUGACUGAUCAGAUUUCCAAAUGUCAUACUUGUGCUUGGAUUUGAAUUAGCGUACAGGUUCUCUUCUAUUUUUGUAGGGUUUAAAUCAUUUUGAUGAAAUUUUGCAAGAAGCUGAUGGUAUUAUCCUCUCUCGUGGAAAUCUGGGGAUAGAUCUCCCACCAGAGAAGGUACACUUUGGUAGUCAUGUUCUUUUAUGUAUUUACAUCAACUGCACAUGGCCACAAAAGUAAUGAGUAAGUCAUUGUCAAACAGUCUACAUAUACCAUAUUGGUAUGACUUACGUGAGAACCAUGUCUUGUAUGUGGUGUCAUCAGCAUAUUGUAUGUAUAUCGCAUCAAUGGUUUGUUAUAUGUUGGGUAUACCUGCACAAGUUAUAUUCUGUUAUGAUGUGGACUAUUAUUUUGGAGGAAGAAUUAAAUAGUGACUUAUCAAAUGUUGAUUUCCUCUGAUGGUGACCUGAAAGCUGGGAGGUACUUACAGUAAUGAGGAUUGGGAACCAAAUGUUCUUUUAGUGUGUGUGUGUGUGUGUGUGUGUUUCCAAUUUCCAUGCUUCGAUGGAUGUGUAUCUAUUUACUUUUAGUUGGAGGUUAUUUUUUAUAAUGAGGCUUGAAUAUUCUGGUAAGACACUACUUUGAUCUUCCAGGUAUUUUUAUUUCAAAAGGCUGCUGUUUACAAGUGCAACAUGGCUGGAAAGCCAGCAGUGGUGACUCGGGUUGUGGACAGUAUGACCGACAACCUUAGACCUACUCGUGCUGAAGCAACUGAUGUUGCCAACGCUGUACUGGAUGGUAAACUUCUGUCUUUUGACAUGAAAUAUGCUCCUUUCUGUUACCUUUGGCAGGUUCCACCAUCUCAUUUAUUCUUUCAUGUCCAUGUCAUUGCAUGGAUUGUUGCUCUGUUAGUGUUAGUAAUAUCAUUAGUAUUGUAAUACUCCUGUUGCUUGAGCAUUAUUAAACAAGUAACAAGUUAAUGUUAUCAUAGGAUGUACAAGUACGAACUGUGCACUUAUUUACCCACUUUUCAAUUCUAUUUGUGCAGGAAGUGAUGCAAUUCUUCUAGGUGCAGAGACCCUGCGCGGUUUGUACCCUGUUGAGACGAUCUCCAUAGUUGGAAAGAUUUGCUCUGAGGUAACUCCAUUUCUGUAUUGUAAUAAAGCUCUCUCCCUCUUCUGAAAAAGCAAGAAAUCUUUCGGCUGUUGCAUCCCUGUGUUUUCCGGAUGAUGGCGGAGCGGGAAUCAAAUUAUAAUAAAUAAGCCCAUUCAAUUACUAAAACUACAUGAUUCAGAUUAUUUAUACCUAUUAUGCAAUAAAUGCAUUUGGCACAUGUAUUUUAGGAUCCUUGGCUUCGAAUCUUAUAUCACAUGAGGCAUCAUGAAUAUAUCUGCUACCAUUUAGUGUUAUAAUUUGAGUCUUUUCAAUGAUUCAUGUGCCAAUGGUUCUAUACAUGAGAUACUUUGUGAGCUUUGAAAGUUUACAGUGAAAGAAGUUCUUGCGAUCUUCUUACUGUGAUGCCAAAAGUUUUCUAAUUUCUCUAUUGGAGUGAUUAAAAUGUUGAGAGUUGUCCCACAAUGGUGAGGGACAAUGUUUGCUAUAUGCUUAUAUGAUCUUGAGUUACUCCUUAUAUUGCCUAAAAGAUAACUCAAAGGAGGAAUUGCAGAUCAUGAGUAGAAAGAUAACGAACAUCAAGCUCCUUGCGAACAACCUUUUCACGAACAUAAUGGUAAUCUACCUCAACAUGCCGAGUGCGGGCAUGAAACACCGGGUUGGAAGCAAGGGAUAUAGCACUGAUAUUGUCACAGAACAGUGUAGGACAAUGGAGAGGAAACUGGAGGUCACGGAACAGCAUACGAAACCAUGAAAGAGUGGCAGCGGUGAUUGCAAGUUGACGAUACUCGGCUUCAGUGCUGGACCGAGAGACCCCAUUUUGUUUCUUGGCACUCCAUGAGACAAGAUUGGAACCCAGAUACAAGCAAUAGCCCCCGGUGGAACGCCGAUCAUCAGGAUCCCCGGCAUAAUCGGCAUCGGAAAAUGCCGUAAGACGAAAUGAACCAGGCUUGUAGAUAAGACCGUGAGAAGUAGUGCCGACAAGGUAACGAAGAAUGCGUUUGACGGCGGCCCAAUGAGUAGAAGUCGGCUGGUGAAGAAAUUGGCAGACUUGGUUGACGGCGAAGUUGAUGUCGGGGCGAGUGAGAGUCAAGUAUUGAAGGGCGCCGACAACACUUCGGUAUUCAGUAGGAUCCGGCAGAGGGUCACCAUCCUGAAGACUGAGCCGUCGCCCACUAACGGCAGGAGUAGGAACCGGCUUGGCACCAUGCAUUUUGGUGCGGUGAAGGAGGUCAGUGGCAUACUUCUGUUGGGAAAGAGAGAGACCUGAUGGAGUGCGGACCACCUCCAUGCCUAAGAAAUAAUGAACCGGUCCAAGGUCCUUCAUAGAGAAACGGAUGCCCAAAUUCUUAAUGAGGGUGACAAUAUGAGAGGGAUUAUUCCCGGUGACCAAAAUAUCAUCAACAUAAAUUAAGAGAUAAAUACGAGUUGAGCCAUGAAUAUAGGUAAAAAGCGAGUGAUCCGCGGUAGAGGGACGAAAACCCAAAUCUUCCAAAUGAGUGGAAAAACAUUGGAACCAUGCACGGGGCGCCUGCUUGAGCCCAUAUAAAGAACGACGAAGGCGGCACACAUGAUGAGGGAACUGUGGAUCAACAAAGCCACGAGGUUGGUGCAUAUAGACCUCCUCAGACAAAGAGCCAUGAAGAAAAGCAUUCUGAACAUCCAACUGACGAACAGGCCAUUGAAACUGAACUGAAAGAGCCAAAAUUAAGCGAAUAGUAGAGUGAUUGACAACAGGACUAAAAGUUUCACCAUAAUCAAGGCCGGGUUGCUGAUGAAAACCAUUGGCUACCAAACGAGCCUUAUACCGCUGAAUAGACCCAUCAGAAUUCUGUUUAAUACGAAACACCCAUUUGUUUGGCAAAAUAUUCAUAGAAGUAGUACGAGGAACAAGAGUCCAAGUACCAGCACGUUGAAGUGCAUUAAAUUCAUCGGCCAUCGCAGUACGCCAUUCUGGAAAAGUGUUGGCCUGACUAAAGCAAGUAGGCUCAAUAGGACCGGUAGAAGAAAUGGCAGCAGAAAAAACAUAUUUAGGAGGCUUAAGAGAAGCCGUUUUGGACCUGGUGAGCAUACCAUGGGAAGGAGAGGGCACGGCAGGUGGUACAGCAGCAGGGAGCCUCUGGAGGCGCAUCAGAGUGAACGGCAGAGGGGGUGGCUGCUUGUGCAAAAGAAAGAACCCGCCUGUGAGGGUCACGGGAGUAAACCUGGAGGGCCGGCUGUGGUGGGUCGGAUGAUGGACGGGAUUGAUGAGUCUCCAAAGAGGGGGACACAACCACCGGUGGGCUGCUAGACAGUCGGGGGGCACGCGGAAGAGGCCCAGUGAUUUCUAAAACAGGAGGAGGAGACGAGGCCGGAGAGGACGGGGCAAGAGAGCCAGAGAUGGCCUUGAAAGGAAAAUUACCUUCAUCAAACACAACAUGGCGUGAUAAAAAGAUGCGAUUAGUAGAGAUGUCUAAGCACCGAUAACCUUGAUGAUUGAGAGAGUAACCAAGAAAAACACAUUUAGUAGAACGAAAUUGGAGUUUAUUAUUAUUAUAGGGUCGUAGGUAGGGAAAACAUGCACACCCAAAGGUCUUUAAAAAACUAUAAUCAGGUUCUUUAAGAAACAACUUUUGAUAAGGAGACAUAAAACCAAGUACUUUAGAGGGGAGGCGAUUGAGAAGAUAAACUGCUGUGUGCAUGGCCUCAGCCCAGUAGGCAGGAGGCAUCGACACAUGGGCCAUUAAAGUAAGUCCAGUGUCGACAAUGUGACGGUGUUUGCGUUCCGCCAAACCAUUUUGUUCGGGAUGGUGAGGGCAUGAGAGACGAUGAUGAAUACCAUGGUGAAGAAAAAAAUGCUUGAAUUGAUGACUAGUGUAUUCGCCCCCACCAUCAGACUGAAACAUCUUAAUUUUAGUGGAGAAUUGAUUUUCAACCAAGGUCUUAAAGUGAGUAAAAAUAUUAAAAACUUCAGAUUUUAAUUUCAUGGGAUAAAUCCAAGAAUAACGAGAGAAAUUAUCAACAAAAAGAACAUAAUAUUGGAAACCACUAACAGACUUAUUGGACGCACUCCACACGUCGGAGUGAAUAAGCUCAAGAGGAGCGUGAGUAACAGACAAGGAUGCAGAAAAAGGUAACUUAACACUUUUGCCUAAGGGACAAGAAUGACACAUAAAAGUAUUGAGAUUGAGGUUGCCAGAAACAGGCAACUUAUUCGAAUGCCUAGAAAAAAGAAAUUUUAAAAUGGAAGAAGAUGGAUGGCCUAAACGAGAGUGCCAGACAUCACUACUAACACGAACACCAAGAAAAGCAGCACGACCAUGAGCAGUCGGUGAUGAAGAGGAAAAGGGAUAAAAGCCAUUGCUACUCUUGCCCGAAAAAAGAAUCGUCCCCGUCUCCAUAUCCUGAAUAUAGAAACAAGAAGGAAACAAUGUAAUAUAACAAUUGUUAUCCAACAUAAACCGAUUAGCAGACAACACAGAAGUAGAAGCAUCCGGACAAUGAAGAACAUCAUUAAGCUUGAAAGAAAUAUUAUUAUGAGAGAGAGUGGAGGAGCCAAUACGGUUAAUGGGCAAACCUGUACCUCCAACGACACCACCGACGGAAUCACCACCACGAUAAUCGCGGGACUGAGACAAAGUAUUGAGAUCAUUGGUGAUAUGCGAGUUGGCCCCGGAAUCAAGAAGCCAAGGCUGGGAGUGCUGAGCAGUCAAGGCAGUGAGACGUGAAGAAGGAGGACGACCUUCAUAAGCCAAAUUAAGGCGUUGAGCACAGUCAAGAGCACCAUGUCCAAAAGUAUUGCAAAUCUGGCAGCGAGGACGGGAGGAACCGUGAGAUGGGGCUGGACCAAGAACCCCAGAAGUAUUGUUGGAGCCACGGAAGCGAGAGCCGUCGUGCUGAGGACGACUACCACCACGAUCGCGAAACGGACGGUCAUGGAAACCACCAGCACCGCGAUAGCCACGAUAGCCGUCACCACCAUUGUUGCGAGACCCAUCAUGUUGAGGACGACCCACCCCACGUGAGAAACGGCCAGAGCCACGAUCGCCGCCGCGAUCAGAAGAGAAGCGGCCACGAGAGGCAGAAGAGCCGCGGGAGGCUACCAGGGCCGAGACGCUGGAGUCCGGCGGAGCAGGAGGAUCAGCAAGGCGAAGUUCAGCAGCGAGAAGAAGAGCCUCAAGAUCAGGAAGGGAGAUGGGCUUGUCACGGGCCUGAGCAGCAGCAACAGUGUUCUCAAAUUUGGGGCCGACAUUAGACAUGACGACCGGCACCAUGUCAUCAGGAGAAACAGGUGCCCCGGCAAGAGCCAAUUGAUCUGCAAUACCAUUGAUCUUAUCAAGAAAGUCAGAAAUUGAAGAAUCACCUCGUUUGGUCUGGAAGAAAGCAGUACGAAGCUGAAGAAUGCGACUUUGGUUUGUAGAAGCAAAACGCUGCUGAAGAGCAACCCAAACAUCACGGGCAGUGGAAUGACGAGCAGUGGCGGCGAGGGCCUGGUGACCAAGAGAGCCAUUGAUCCAAGAAAGAACAAGCUGGUCCUUCUGAACCCAGUCAGCAUACGCGGGGUUGGGCUUGGGAGAGGCGUUGCCGGUAGCGUCGGACAAGAACGCCGAGGGGCAGAUGGAAGUACCAUCAACAAAAGCCAACAAUUGACGACUGCGAAGAACAGGUAGCAACUGAGCCAACCAAAGAGGAUAAUUGGAAGAGUCAAGUUUGAUGGAGAUCGCAUGAGAAACAGAAGGGAAGAUGUCGGAGGAAGGAGUAGUCGAACUGGUUGAGGCAGCCAUGGAAAAGAGUAGUAAGAAUCCGAAAAAAAAAAAAAAAAAGACGUUAGUCACUGGCUCUGGAUACCAUAAAAGAUAACUCAAAGGAGGAAUUGCAGACAAGACAGCAAAAGUAAAAGAAGGUAUUUUGGCUCAAUCCCUCGAUACCUCAGAGGGUGCAUUAUCAUUGAUUUAAAUAGUGUACAAUGACUUGAUUUACAAGUAUAAUUAAUCUACAAAGAAUACAUAAAGGGAAUGUUUUAAUAAAACAGGGAAAUCUGGAAAUCAUGAUGAAACAGGAAACAAUCCCAAGAGAUCAGGAAUGUAUCAUCCUUUAUUGCCAAUUGGUAUUUUUAUGGUGGAACCCCAAUUUCAUCAUUGUAUCAGAGCAAGGUUGUCCACUUGUGAAGCCGAACGGCCACACGCUCUCCACAUCACCCAGUUGUUGUCCACGUGUAGGCUUGAAAAUCCACCACACGUGCGGGGGCGUGUUGAGAGUUGUCCCACAUUGGUGAGGGACAAGGUUUGCUAUGUGCUUAUAUUGCCAAUUGGUUUUAUGGUGGAACCCCAAUUUCAUCAUAAAAUACACCUUUGGUGCAGUGCUAAAGGUUGGAGUGAGACCAUAUAUCUGUUUUCUUCGUUUCUCUUGUGAUUGUCCUACAACGGUAGGGACUUUUAUAGACGUGCACCUCCAAAGCUAGUGUUGAAGUAGCACUGUUUUUCCAUCCUAUUAGUUUUCUCAUUUCUGAGGGUGUGUUUGCCAUAUGUUGAUGUGCAUUUUAGAAACUCUCAUUAUUCUUAUAUGGGACCAUUCCUCUAUAUUUUUUUCAGUCUUCUCUCUGAGAAUUCUUAAUAUUUCAGCUUUGGUUUUGUGGUUCUCUGAAGAUUCAGAACUGACUUAUAUUAGCACACUGAGCAUUGUUUAUGUUCUGUGAUCUUAUCGUUUCUGAUCUACAAUUUGUUGGUUUCUAGCGUAGACACUACCCAUUUGUUAAAUUAUGGCCAAACAACAAUUACUUUCGGCUAUUAAAAAAAGGAAAAGAAAAAACUUUUGGUUAUAAAAUUAUAAAGACAUCAUGAUGAGGAGGCAUCAUGAUGAUGUUUUUUCUUCUUUUGUGGUUUUUUAUUAGCCGAAAGUGAUGGCUUGGUUUAAAUAAUAAGUCAUUGUUUUGUUUCGGUAGAUAGAGAAGAAAAGGAGAGCUCAAUUUCAGUUUUGAGCAGAAGAGAGAAGAGAGCUGCAGAGAAAAUGAGUGCAAGCUGCAGAGCAUCAGAAAAUUAGAAAGGGUGCAACAACCCUUUGUUGAAAAGAAGAAGAAUGUGCUCUUCUUUUUUAUUAGCAAUCAUCCAUCAUAGUUAUUGUUGUAAUAGCUUUGAGCUAUAUGUGUAGAGAAGAAAUUAUACCUUAUAUUUCUUUCUCUAUUUGUUUCUGUGGUGUGUGAGAGCUAUUGGGUGUAUUGGGUUAUUUGGGUUGUGAGAUUGCCAACACUUUGUAAACUCCCAUUUGGUUGAUAGUGGAUUAUUGGGUGAGCUCCUACUGCUCCGAGGACGUACUCCAGUUACACUGACUGUUGAGGAACCUCGUUAAAAUCUUGGUGUCUUUAAUAUUUUGUUCUUGCAUUUCAUUUGAUAAAUUUCCUGUGGGUUAGCUUGAGUUGGUUCCAACGGGUUUGGUGCUAUCCUAGCACAACACCAUUCCCAAAGCUAAGGGCUAGGAGUAUAUUUGAUGUAGAACCAAAUACCAGAAUUUAGAAUUAGAAUUUAGAAGACAAAAAGAGAUGUCGAGGAGAAUUUAGAAGAAGAUUACUGGGGGAAAAGAUUUGUUUAAUCAAUCAUUCAAGUCUGUCUAAUUUGAAGUACUUACAAAGAACAUAUUUAUAAUAACCUAGGCCUACUACAAUUAGGGGAGUAAUCCCAACCCUGAUAGCAACAGGAAAGAAAGAAAACAAGAAAAUAAAAUAAAACAGGAAAUAUGAUUCUGCAUCAACAUAUUCCGGUGGAAUUGUGGUACUAAUUGUAUAUAAUAUUUAUAAAUUGGAAAAUGUUCAUGGCUAUUCUGUUCACUCCCUCUCAUUUGAGAUUCAACUGUUCGAAGUGGCUAUAGAAAUAUGUGUUUUGUUAGUCCGGCUAUUAUUUCAAAACAUUGUCUCUUUCUUGAUACUUAAGAGUGAUUCAUUGGUCUUGGCUAUAGUCACACGACUCAUAUUAGAAUGUGUGAUCCUUUUGUUUUGUGGUCAGUCAGUUUUGGAGGGUGGGAGUGGGACAAUUCUUUGUUCUUAUUAUUAGGAUGCAUGUUUCGUAGGAAUGGUUUAUCAAAAAAAUAUUAUAAAUUAAAGUACAAUGACAAGGGAAAGUUCUGAGUUCAUUUCCACAUUCAUUAUAACAGUUCCUUUAUAUCUUGUAAUAAUGGAAAUUUUCUUUUAUCAAAUUACUGUCGACAGGCGGAGAAAGUUUUCAAUCAAGAUUUGUAUUUUAAGAGGGCUGUCAAAUAUGUUGGAGAACCAAUGACCCACUUGGAAUCUAUUGCUUCCUCUGCGGUAGUUUUGUGCUUUCAGUAUUUUCCAUUUUGUUUUUUCUCUUUCUUUUUAUUGUACCAUUGGCCUGUUCCCUGAAGAGGUGCUGCUAACAGAAGCAUGUACGAAGGAUACCUUUUAUUUUGCUACAACAGGAAAAUAUUAUAAUAUAAUUUAUCUUAUCCUAGGUACGUGCAGCCAUCAAGGUGAAGGCCUCUGUAAUUAUUUGCUUCACUACAUCUGGAAGAGCUGCAAGGUGAUUCUCUCUUAUCUCUUCUUCUCUCUUCUUGUGUAUUUAUAAAAUCAAAUGAUUAGGGCCCGUUUGAUUACCAUUUUGGUAGUUUUUGGUUCUCAUUUUUGUGUUAGAGAUGGAGGGGAAAUACAUGGGACAAAUGAGGGAUAUAGAAUAGUUGAGGAAGGAUGGUGGAGGAAAUGUUGAAGGAAUGUUUAAGGAAAGGCACACAAAAUGUUGAAAAGUAAAAUUCAAAACCCAAAAACUAUUUUAAGUUGAUUUCACUUUCAAGAUUUUGUUUUCAUUUAUUCUUUAUUUCCUCCCCUUUCUUCCAUCACCCUUCUUCAUCUUGCCUCCUUUUCCCCCAUGUACUUUCCUCACAUCUCAAGCACAAAAAGUGAAAACAAGAAACUAAAAAUGGUUAUCAAACUGGCCCGUAGGAAAUGGGUAAGGCUAAUGUUACUUGGUUUUAUGUAAAAUUUUAGUUUCUUGAUUGAAGUUCAGUUAGAUCAGAUGUACUUUAAUUGUAAAACAUAAAAAUAAGUUUUUCUUUGUUGGUUUACGAUGUUAGAUACAAAUAUUUUUGUAAUUGUUAUGUUCACUCGUGUAUAUACCGGUUCUGAUAUUUGGGCAUUAAUGUAGGUUGAUUGCAAAGUACAGACCAACAAUGCCUGUGCUUUCUGUUGUCAUACCUCGGGUCAAGACAAAUCAACUCCGAUGGACAUUUUCUGGUGCUUUUGAGGUUUGUUACUGAACUGAUUAUCUUUGUUUUUAUGCACUAGCAAGUUUAUUUUUCCAAGUUUCUGCUAGAUGCUAGAAUGUCUCUACCAAUUGUUUUAUCCAGUUGGGACAAAAUGCUGGAGCAAUUGCUUUGUUGAAUGUUUUAUUUCUUCCUUUGUCGCACUCAAACAUGCGUGACAGUAGAUAAUAUCUUGAGCCACCCCACUUAUUCCCAAUUGAUCUUGAGUUGGAUGCCCUAGUUAAGAUGGUAGCAGAGCAGAUAGUGCAUCUGCAUGAGCCCAACGGCCAUGCUCCAUGUUACCUAAUAUUAACUGAUCCACAUGUUUGACUCCAUACGUUUCCAAUUGAAAAUAGAAAUCCUCCAUCGGAAGUUCUGUGCCUUGAUGACAACACUCGCACAUCAUGAUAUCUUUAUUCUGUUUAUACACCUUAUUUGUCCCUAAUUUUGUUCCUGCCGAUUGAAUAAGAAUCAAUUACAAUCAAAUGGAAUGAAGUUCUAAUGAAACAAAAAACGAUUGAAAAAUAAAUAUUAAAGAUGAGUGGGAAAACUUGUUAGGUACCAUUGACUCUGGUAAAGUUCUAAUUACUUUUGGAUUUGAACCAAUGACUCCUGCCGUAUGAAAACAACUCUAACCACUGAGUUAAGUAGGUAAUUAGCAUCACAACUCUAACCAAUUGAUUUUGGGUUGGAUACUCUUAACUUUAAUAUCUCUCUUAUGAACCCAAGAUUUGAAAUUGAGAAGAAUGAUUAGCAGACAAUCAUACUAUUUCUUUAUGAUCUAGAGUCUCCAACUGAAUUUGAUGCUCACAAGCUCUCUUUUUCUUAUGAUGAAUAUCUGGCAGGCAAGGCAAUCACUCAUUGUUAGAGGCCUUUUUCCCAUGCUAGCAGAUCCUCGACAUCCAGUAAGAUAUAUCUUGUUGAUUGCAUUGGGGAAAGCUAUGCAUAAUCCAUAUAAUAAUCACAUUGUUUCCCAGAUCUUUCCUUUCGUUAAAAUUGAUUGAUUUGGGUUUCCCGUUCACCUUGAAUGCUGCCCUAAUGAAUAUAGUUGGAAGUUUUUCGAAAUUCUAGAUAAGUAGAUCUCUGAAAAUGGUAGGAAAGGGGAAGGGGAGGCUACAUUUAGGGACCCGAGUCGGUUAUAGACGUGGAUUAACUUCAGUUCAUCACAUGAUGCAUAUUCUUUUGCAUGCUUCACUACCCAUUGUAUCAGACUGAGACGUUUCUUUUUCUUAUCUUCCCUUUCUCCCCUGCAGGCUGAAACUACCGGUGCAACAAAUGAGUCCAUUCUUAAAAUCGCUUUGGACCAUGGCAAGGCCAUUGGUGUCAUAAAAUCACAUGAUCGUGUGGUCAUUUGCCAAAAAAUUGGCGAUACUUCUGUGAUCAAGAUCAUGGAGCUUGAAGAUUGAUGUAAAAAUUGCAACUUCUUUUGCGUAUAUGUUUACGAGUUUACUUCUCCAUGGCCUGUACCGUGCCCUCUUUUCGGAAAAUAAGCAAAGGUACGUGUUACUUGUAAGAAACCCUGGAUUGAAUUUCUGAGUUUGUGGUUGAAGUACCUUAAAACUUUUUAAGGGAAAUUACUAUUAAGUUGUUGCUCCUCCAUCUUUCCUACCCAAAC